rnacentral:rRNA from 1 species
GACGAACGCUGGCGGCGUGGAUUAGGCAUGCAAGUCGAACGGUAUCAUCCUUUCGGGGGUGAGAGAGUGGCGAACUGGUGAGUAACACGUAGGUUAUCUACCCUCAAGACGGGGACAACCCAGGGAAACUUGGGCUAAUACCGGAUGUGAGCAACUUUUAGUUGUUUGAAAGGUGGCGUAAGCUGUCGCUUGGGGAUGAGCCUGCGUCCUAUUAGUUAGUUGGUGAGGUAACGGCUCACCUAGGCAAUGAUAGGUAGGCGGCCUUAACGGGUGGUCGCCCACACUGGGAUUGAGAUACGGCCCAGACUCCUACGGGAGGCAGCAGUCGAGAAUAGUCUACAAUGGUCGGAAGACUGAUAGUGCGACGCCGCGUGAACGAUGAAUCCCUUCGGGGUGUAAAAGUUCUUUUAUAUGUGAGCAGUGCUUCUUAUAUUAACAGUAUGGGGAGAGAGAUAUUAGCAUAUGAAAUAAGCAACGGCUAAACUCCGUGCCCAGCAGCCGACGGUAAAAA